rnacentral:rRNA from 1 species
GACGAACGCUGGCGGCGUGCCUAAUACAUGCAAGUCGAACGCAGUGGGGACGGGUGAGUAACACGUGGGUAACCUCCCAUCAGAGGGGAUAACACUUGGAAACAGGUGCUAAACCGAUACUGGUGGAUGGACCCGCGGGGCAUUAGCUAGUUGGGGGGGUAACGGCUCACCAAGGCCACGAUGCAUAGCCGACCUGAGAGGGUGACCGGCAACACUGGAACUGAGACACGGCCCAGACUCCUACGGGAGGCAGCAGUAGGGAAUCUUCGGCAAUGGACGAAAGUCUGAUCGAGCCAAGCCGCGUGAGUGAAGAAGGUUUUCGGAUCGUAAAACUCUGUUGUUAGAGAGGCGGUAUCUAACCAGGAAGCACCGGCUAACUACGUGCCAGCAGCCGCGGUAAUUC